rnacentral:rRNA from 1 species
CCUACGGGUGGCUGCAGUGGGGAAUAUUGGACAAUGGGGGGAACCCUGAUCCAGCCAUGCCGCGUGUGUGAAGAAGGCCCUCGGGUUGUAAAGCACUUUCAGUGAGGAAGAACGCCUGGUGGUUAAUACCCAUCAGGAAAGACAUCACUCACAGAAGAAGCACCGGCUAACUCCGUGCCAGCAGCCGCGGUAAUACGGAGGGUGCGAGCGUUAAUCGGAAUUACUGGGCGUAAAGCGCGCGUAGGUGGCUUGAUAAGCCGGUUGUGAAAGCCCCGGGCUCAACCUGGGAACGGCAUCCGGAACUGUCAAGCUAGAGUGCAGGAGAGGAAGGUAGAGUUCCCGGUGUAGCGGUGAAAUGCGUAGAGAUCGGGAGGAAUACCAGUGGCGAAGGCGGCCUUCUGGACUGACACUGACACUGAGGUGCGAAAGCGUGGGUAGCAAACAGGAUUAGAUACCCGUGUAGUC